CGCGGCCUCCAAUCAGGAGCCCCGCCUGCCAAUUGCGAAGCUCCAUUGGCUGAGGCGGCCUUCUAAAUUCCGCGAGGGCACGCCCACCACCGAACGCCCCGGGACGCGCCGCUGGAGUUUCCACUUCGCUGAGAAAUCUGCCCGGCGACUGAGCAUGCUCAGUUCCACGGGCGCCUUGGGCCGCGCGCUCCUGGAGUUGCAUUGUUUUACUGCUUCUUUUUGGAAUGACCUCCGUCAGACAAGUGUGUAUCUACCUUCACGGGAAGGAAAAUGAGUAAGAGUGGACAAUUACCCGUAAAAUCCCGUGUGUUGGAUGCUGGAGGUCUCUGAAGGAAGGAAGAGUGUACCAAUAACCUCAAUAAAAAGAAAGAAGAAGAAGAAAAAAAAAAGAAUUGGAGAGCCGGGCGUGGUGGCACAUGCCUGUAAUCCCAGCACUCAGGAGGCUGAGGCAAGAGGAUCACUGUGAGUUCGAGACCAGCCUGGGCUACAUAGUGAAUUCCAGGUCAGUCUCAACUACAUAGUGAGACCCUGUCUCAAAAAAAGAAAAAAAAAAAAAAGAAAAGAAAAGAAAAAAGAAUUGGAGUAAUAAAGAUGAGUUUUGGAGACUGUAACUGCCAACAAGGGUGAUACCACUUUCCAAAGGGCAAAAAUUGGUUUAUGGGGCACCAAAAAUCUUAGCUCUUACAAUAGUUUAUGGGCCUCCAAAACUCAACCAUAACUGAUAAAAAUCUUAUUUCUUAGUAUUCAAUGUAUAUUGUUGGGUUUUGGUGCUUUGGGAUUCAGAUGAAUCACACCCAAUAUUGAAUUCAUGGAAGACACAGAAAAUGUAUGGAAUAUCGGUGCUGCAAAACUAUGGAAAUAUUUGGAUGUGACUGAAGGUCUCUCACAUACACAAC
rnacentral:lncRNA from 1 species